GAUAGGGUGGUGUAGUGGUUUGAGCAUUGGACUGCGACUCUGGAGACUAGGGUUCAAAUUCCCACUCAGCCA